rnacentral:piRNA from 1 species
UGCUGAGGUCUAUUUACUGAAAAGGGCGG